rnacentral:rRNA from 1 species
UACGGAGGAUGCAAGCGUUAUCCGGAAUGAUUGGGCGUAAAGCGUCCGCAGGUGGCAAUGUAAGUCUGCUGUUAAGGAGUCUAGCUCAACUAGAUAAAAGCAGUGGAAACUACAUAGCUAGGGUACGUUCGGGGCAGAGGGAAUUCCUGGUGUAGCGGUGAAAUGCGUAGAGAUCAGGAAGAACACCGGUGGCGAAGGCGCUCUGCUAGGCCGUAACUGACACUGAGGGACGAAAGCUAGGGGAGCGAAUGGG